AGUGAACGCUGGCGGCAGGCCUAACACAUGCAAGUCGAACGGCAGCACAGGAGAGCUUGCUCUCUGGGUGGCGAGUGGCGGACGGGUGAGGAUAACGUCGGAAUCUGCCUUUUUGUGGGG
rnacentral:rRNA from 1 species